rnacentral:rRNA from 1 species
AUUCUUCUUAAUAGUUAAGUUGUUAAAUGUUAAUUUGUUGUAGGUUCUGUCCUGUGGACAGACGCGAACGGCUGAGUAACACGUAGGAACCUACCCAUUGGUUGGGAAUAGUCCACCGAAAGGUGGGGUAAUACCGAAUAAGUCCCGAGAGCAAUCGAGGGAGAAAGGGCAUAACUGCCCGCCGAUGGAGGGGCCUGCGGCCUAUCAGCUAGUUGGUGGGGUAACGGCCUACCAAGGCUACGACGGGUAGGGGGCGUGAGAGCGUGAUCCCCCAGAAUGGCACUGAGAUACGGGCCAUACACCUACGGGUGGCAGCAACCGGGAAUCGUGCGCAAUGGACGAAAGUCUGACGCCGCGACGCCGCGUGAAGGAUGAAGGCAUUCGUGUUGUAAACUUCUUUUGCCGUUGGGGAGACCUUACGGCGAAUAAGCACCGGCUAACUCCGUGCCAGCAGCAGCGGUAAUACGGAGGGUGCAAGCGUUGUCCGGAUUUACUGGGUGUAAAGAGUUCGUAGGCGGUUUGGAAAGUUGUUUUUCAAAGACCGAGGCUCAACCUCGGAAAGGGGGACAAUACUCCCAAACUUGAAGAGUGCAGGGGCUACUGGAACUUACGGUGUAGGAGUGAAAUCCGUUGAUAUCGUAAGGAACACCGAGGGCGAAGGCAGGUAGCUGGGCACUAUUUAACGCUGAGGAACGAAAGCCAGGGUAGCGAAAGGGAUAAAAUGUUAGUCCCCAUGGAUAGUAAUAUCCAUGCUUAAACUGACUAUAUCGGUGAAACACCUUGUAUAUUUCGGAUAUUUUUUGGUAUUCUGAAAUAUGAGGCCAACACCGAGGGAAGUUUGUUCAAAUCUUAAAUCCAGUUUCAAGUUAACACCAAAUCAAAAAGCAGUUUUGAUAGGAACUAUAUUGGGAGACGGAAAUAUUCGACUAAAAGGAAAGUUUGCUCGUUUACAUAUAAAACAUUCGGCAAAUCAACUUUUCUUUGUCAAAUAUAAAAGACGAGUAUUUUCAAAUAUUUCUACAAUGGGUGUAAGUGUAUUUACACAAAGAGUAGGCGAAGUCGACUACAAUUUUGCUGAAUUUGUUACACUUACACAUCCAAUUUUUUUAGAAUAUUAUCACCUCUUUUAUCCUAACGGUAAAAAGAGAGUUCCUCGAGAAAUAGAGAAAUUGCUUUUGGAUCCUUUGAGUUUGGCAAUGUGGAUUAUGGAUGAUGGCUCAGCAGAGUAUGCAGGACUAUCUAUCCAA